rnacentral:lncRNA from 1 species
CUUACAGCCGCUAUGUAUACAUAUUUUAGCCCCCUAUGUUCCUGAAGAGGGGGACACAAACAAAAACAAAAAGAGCAACAACUUCUAUAGUCACGACGCUUAGGGCAUAAUAAUUCUUAUCUUGAAGGGGCGCAGGCAGGCAGAGAUAGACGAUUACUUCUUUUUACAUAGUAAGUAGUAGUAUAGUGUGGAGUUCAACUUUGGAUAUAUCAUUCAUUAGUGUUGAGACUCGGUCCAAGACUGAAUAUUGGUCGGUUCGGUCUUAAGGGGAUUUUUAGACUGAUUUGAACCACUGUUUUGGCCAAAGUCACAUUCACAGACCGUAAUUUAAUCGUUUUCUAAUCGUGAUCCUUUUUUUUCACUAAUAAUAAAUAAAUGAAUUAUAUUCAAUCUCAAUCUGUGGGCUGAUUUUCUCUCUUAAUUAUCCACCUGAUUUAUGAGUUGCACAAAUAAGAUUAAUACAACAGUUUCAAUAUCAUAUGGUUUAAGCUAUUGUGGGUCGAUGUUUACAAUUUUGAAACACGCAUGACGUCAUCAACAAUUCAUCUAUAGCAUUUUUUCAACCUUUCCAAUAUGACGACCUAUUUUUGGAACAAGCAAUCAGAAAAAGAGUCAAAUUCCUACGAAAUCUUAUACCAAGUGAUCUAUUAAAAUCUGAAUGUUUUAAUUUUAAACUUCAACUGGAUAUAAUUUAUUAAUUAUUAAUAGAAUUUCAUAAUAAUCAAUACUUUAAAUAGAUCUGAGUCUGACCUCUCUUAAUCAUUAAUGUAGCCCCCUUGUAGGUGGCGGUGGAAGGCCUGGCACCCACUGCAGAUGUAGUCCUAUUUCAUGGCGUCCCAGUGCUGGAUGAAAGUGGAUUUGAGGCCUUCAGUGUUUGAAGGAAGGCCGCGCUCUCUGGACAGGUGUGAACCCCCGAGAUCUCUUGUAUGGACCCUCAUGGACUUGAAGGAAGUGCCCUUGCUAUUUUUUAACUCCUCCGGUUCAAUUUUGACCUUUUCGGCAAACUCUUCUCCCUCGCCAACGUUACAGACUUACUGACUGCGUAGACGCUAAUCCUGGAGACACCCAACUGCUUGGAGUGUGCGAAUGGAAAUUCGUCGAUCUUGUUCAUGUGUUAUUCUAUCGACUUGAAUGUAAGCUAGAGAGCUCAGGUUUUGGUUGUUUUUUUGUAAUUAUUUGUUUAUACUUUAAUAUAUCGAAAUAUAAAUUAAUUUCAAUAACGCAA